GACGAACCGUGCGAACGUUGUUCGGAAUCACUGGGCUUAAAGGGCGCGUAGGCGGGCGACCAAGUCAGGGGUGAAAUCCUCCGGCUCAACCGGAGAACAGCCUUUGAUACUGGUCACCUCGAGGGAGGUAGGGGCAUGUGGAACUUCCGGUGGAGCGGUGAAAUGCGUUGAUAUCGGAAGGAACGCCGGUGGCGAAAGCGGCGUGCUGGACCUCUUCUGACGCUGAGGCGCGAAAGCUAGGGGAGCAAACAGG
rnacentral:rRNA from 1 species